rnacentral:lncRNA from 1 species
GUUCGAAAUAAAAUGAUUCCAAAUUCUCCCAUGUAAAUAACUUUGCUUAGUAUAAUAAAAAGUGUAAUCAAUAAAGAAACACUGAAAUAAUACGCUGUCUUGUUUCAUAUUUUAUAUACGCAACGAUCGGCUUUUAAAUUAAAGUAACUACAGCCGAGAUUACAGUAUAUUAAAAGCAAACAAUGCAUUAAUAUUUAAAACAAACUUACCUUCAUUAACGUCGGCACCUUUACUUCCUUCUUUUAGCAAUCCUCUUGCCUUUAUUUCAUCAAAAAUCCUUUGCAAUUUACAAAAUCUUGCAAAAAUGAAAUAUAUUUGCAAGAAAGCAUCAAAUCAAUUUCGCUGUCGUCAAUCGUCAUGCAGCCGUUAUAAUGCUAAUUUUAAAUUGGACCAAUCAGUGUUGCCUAUUCAUUACAGUCCGCUAUAUUAUGAGAUCAGUGAGGAUGACCACCCACCGAAACACGCACAGUGACCCACGCCCGCGAUAUUUGAUGAACUUUAGACUUCGCUAAUGCUUUCGUUUCCCCGGGUGUAAAUAGCCGGGGGGAAUUAGUACCCUCGCACGGCGCUUCGCGCCGUCGGCUCGGGGAUAAAAUAUUACAGCUUCACCUGGCAUCUAAGACAGUAAAAUAAUAAGGGUUAAAAUCAAAUAUAUAACAGCAUUAUAAAAUAAGUUAGUCUAAUAUUCUAACUACAAUUAGCAUAUUUAUUGCCAAUUGACUGGAGUUUAUAUUGUUGACCAUAAGUCCUCUAUAUAAACCAUGCUAGAAAAGAUUUAUUUCAUGACUAGCCAAUUACGGAGGCCAGCACCAAGGGGUUAUGACCGACAGGCGACAUUCCUUAAAAAGAGUUGACAGACUAUCUAAAAAAGAGCGACAAACGACUGGAAAGGACUUUGGAAAGUCUACACAUUAGGGACCAUAUAGUCUUAUAGAAGUAAGGAAUCUUCAUCGAUAAUUAAUAAUACAUUUCUUGCUAUGUGAGGGGUCGUGAGUAGAGGACUUAUGGUAUACAAGGUAGUAUACAUUUAUAAUUAAAUUAUAUUUUAUUUAACAACACUAAAUAAUGUUUUAUAUAAAUUCACUAAUCCAAUUCAAGUAAUGUACAUUAAUUCACAGCCAAAGCAUGUACACUUUUUUUGACAUUUUGGACCAUUUGAACACAAAUCGCAGCAGUUCGCAGCAGUUCACAUCAAGCAUUUUAAUUUUCAGUAUGUGUCUAGAUGAUAUGACAGCAUAAUUUCUUCAGUGUGAUCCAUUAUAUGAAAUUUAACACUGGACAUGUUGAUGAUAAUUCUGUUAUCCAUAAUGUACGUAAGAAGUUAUAUGCAUUUCGAUGAUGAUUAAUCCAAUAUUCAAUAUAUGCAUAGACCAUAUGGUAUGGUAGCAAAUUAUGUGAUGAGGAAUAUCUAUACCAUAUAUUUUCGCUUGAGAUAUCUUUUUUAAUCCAUUCUGUGAAAAGUUGAUGAAUAUGUUGAUGAUAUAUAGGAUGGUACGGAAACUUCUUAUGUUGUCCAUAACUGAAUAUAUGGCCAUUAUUUAAUAUGCGUUGGAUAUGGUAAUUAAUGUGGUAGCAUAAUUUGAUGAGCAGGAUAUAUACCAUAUAAUUUCUGUUGAAAUGUCGUUUGUAAUCAAAAACUGAUGAAAAUGUUGAUGACAUUAGUCCAUAAGAGCAUAGUAUAAAUAUAUUUUCUCUUGAACUUUCAAUUUUGUCAUCCGGCCAUGAUGAGGAAUAUGUAUUUUAGUCCUCUUCAUCUUUCUUUGGAAAUCAUCACAUCUAUAUAUACAGUAUAUAUAGCAAUAUUAAUUAACCUAUACCAUAUUAUCUAUUGGGAUUGAGGGGUUUAAUUAUAUAUAAAAAUGAUAAAUCCAACUUCGCCUUUCUCAAUGUCUUGAACACACAAGGUGGCGGAAAGGCAAAAUUGAAGUUAUCAUUCUUAGUGAUACUUGUUAACCCAUUAGUGCAUUAGACACUGUCCAUUCAUUCAGGCUAAUGCCGCCAAUUAAGUGUCCAAUCAUUCAGGUGUCCAUAGAUGAGGGCCAUGAGUGGCCAUUCAUUCAGGAUAAUUAAUGAUCACCUAAAUAUACUCAACUCAUUGUGAAAACUUACUUGGCGUUAUAGAGUACCAGUACAUUCAUGUUCAUCUUUAUCAUUCAGAAAUCUCAAUAGGAUAAUAAUAUUCCCCUAUGUUCCUUGUUCUUCCAGCUUUCGUUAAAUAAAUGUAGUACGUGUUCAAUGUCAACCCAUUGAAGCGUCAAGAAAGAUAAAAUGCUUGCCUGGCUUGUUUAAAAUGUCAGUUUGUAUAAGUGGUACUCUAACUUAAUGUUACAAUGUACAAUACAUAAAUAUGUCACAUAGAUGCAUG